GAUGAACGCUGGCGGCGUGCCUAAUACAUGCAAGUCGAGCGAACAGACGAGGAGCUUGCUCCUCUGACGUUAGCGGCGGACGGGUGAGUAACACGUGGAUAACCUACCUAUAAGACUGGGAUAACUUCGGGAAACCGGAGCUAAUACCGGAUAAUAUAUUGAACCGCAAGGUUCAAUAGUGAAAGACGGUAUUGCUGUCACUUAUAGAUGGAUCCGCGCCUCAUUAGCUAGUUGGUAAGGUAACGGCUUACCAAGGCAACGAUGCCUAGCCGACCUGAGAGAGUCACCCGCAACACUGGAACUGUCACACGACGCCGCCUCCCGCUCGUCACCCCACGAGGGAGUCUUACACACUGUACGCCAACCUGACGGAUCAGCCCCGCGUAAGUGAUUCAGCUCUUCCGAUCGUAAAACUCUUUUACUAGGGAUCAUCGAAGGGGUAAGUAACUAUGCUCAUCUUGACGCUACCUAAUCAGACGGCCACGGCUAACUACAUG
rnacentral:rRNA from 1 species